UUAUGAAUAAUAAUCAAGUUUCAAAUAGAGGAGUGUACCUAACCGAAAAACACAAAAUUCACCUCCUUGGAGUCAUUUUCUGUAAAAAUAAAGUCCAAAAUUGGACUUAGGAUGUCGAAAUUAGCUAGGUGGGAUACUGUUAAAAAUUGCUGACGUGGUAGUGUUGACAUGGCAGAAGACAUGCCGCUGUCUGCUGAUGCGUCAAUGAUGUGGCAGGAUGCCGUGGUGUUGACAUGGUGGAAGCAUAAGUAGAUUAGGUGCAUGUAAGCUAACGAACGUCAGGUUCUAGUCGGAUAGCAGUUCCAACAACGAGAACAGGUAGAUUAGCAUCGGCAAGUGUCCAAGGAUGGUUCAGAUGCCAGAGAAGUUCGAAUUUCAGUUGAGUCUUGAAUCGGAUCGUUUCCAACCUGGUAGGAUCUUUAACUUCGGCCAACUUUAGGCGAUCGAAAGAGGUUCUCUAGACUUGCUACAGGCCGAUGAGUCUUCUGGAAGUGGUGGCGUGAUAGCUGGAUGGCUGCUAGUGGUGGGUCUUGUGUGAAGUGUGGGCAGUGGUGAUGUAGAGCAAAGAGAAAGAAUCAACAAGAAGAAGAA
rnacentral:misc_RNA from 1 species